UACGUAGGGGGCAAGCGUUGUCCGGAUUUAUUGGGCGUAAAGAGCUCGUAGGCUGUUCGAUAAGUCGGGUGUUAAACCUCCAGGCUCAACCUGGAGACGCCACCCGAUACUGUCAUGACUAGAGUCCGGUAGGGGAGCGUGGAAUUCCUGGUGUAGCGGUGAAAUGCGCAGAGAUCAGGAGGAACACCAAUAGCGAAGGCAGCUCGCUGGGACGGUAUUGACGCUGAGGCGCGAAAGCGUGGGGAGCGAACAGG
rnacentral:rRNA from 1 species